rnacentral:rRNA from 1 species
CCCGACUGCUAUCGGGGUGGGACUAAGCCAUGCAAGUCGUACGUCCCUUGGCUGCAGGGGGCGUGGCGCACGGCUCAGUAACACGUAGUCAACCUACCCUAGGGAUGCGGAUAACCCCGGGAAACUGGGACUAAUCCGCAAUAGGCCAGGGCUACUGGAACGUGCCUUGGCCGAAAGGGCUGUGUGGGCAUGCUCCACAUGGCUGCCCUAGGAUGGGACUGCGGCCGAUCAGGUAGUUGGUGGGGUAAAGGCCCACCAAGCCUAUAACCGGUACGGGCUCUGAGAGGAGGAGCCCGGAGAUGGAUCCUGAGACAAGGAUCCAGGCCCUACGGGGCGCAGCAGGCGCGAAACCUUCGCAAUGCGCGAAAGCGCGACGAGGCCACCCCGAGUGCCACCCGCUAAGGGUGGCUUUUCCCAGGUCUAAAAAGCCUGGGGAAUAAGGGGAGGGUAAGUCUGGUGUCAGCCGCCGCGGUAAUACCAGCUCCCCGAGUGGUCGGGACGAUUAUUGGGCCUAAAGCAUCCGUAGCCGGCUCGGUAAGUCCCUCGUUAAAUCUAACGGCUCAACCGUUGGGCUGCGGGGGAUACUGCCGGGCUAGGGGGCGGGAGAGGCCGGCGGUAUUCCGUGGGUAGGGGUAAAAUCCUCUGAUCCACGGAGGACCACCAGUGGCGAAGGCGGCCGGCCAGAACGCGCCCGACGGUGAGGGAUGAAAGCUGGGGGAGCGAACCGGAUUAGAUACCCGGGUAGUCCCAGCCGUAAACGAUGCGGGCUAUGCGCUGGAUCGGCUACGGGCCGAUCUAGUGUCGCAGGGAAGCCGUUAAGCCCGCCGCCUGGGGAGUACGGCCGCAAGGCUGAAACUUAAAGGAAUUGGCGGGGGAGCACCACAAGGGGUGAAGCCUGCGGUUU